GUGUCAGCCGCCGCGGUAAUACGUAGGGGCCGAGCGUUGUCCGGAGUUAUUGGGCGUAAAGCGCGCGCAGGCGGCUUCGCGCGCCCGACGUGAAAGCCCCCGGCUUAACCGGGGAGAGUCGUUGGGGACGGCGGAGCUUGAGGGCGGGAGAGGUCGGUGGAAUUCCCGGUGUAGUGGUGAAAUGCGUAGAGAUCGGGAGGAACACCUGUGGCGAAGGCGGCCGACUGGGCCGACCCUGACGCUGAGGCGCGAAGGCGUGGGGAGCGAACGGGAUUAGAUACCCCCGUAGUCC
rnacentral:rRNA from 1 species